GAUUUAAAAAAUGAAUCUCACAUUCAACGUCGUAAAACUGUCUCGACGUCUCGGGGACGAAAGAGACGAGGACACAACUAACAAUCUGUAUAUUUUUAUAUGUUACAUAUUUUUAUAUCUACAAAUAUAACAUUUACGAACAAUUUUUUCUCCAAAGAUUUAGAAAAUGUAUCUUCAAAAAAUUAAUGUAUUAGUGUUAGUUAAUUAGUGUAUCAAGUUUUGUGUUUUUCAUUAUUGACAAAUUUUAAAGAAAUUGUUUUCUGCUUCUUUUUUUAAAAGCUGAUAUUCAUCAAGAUCCUGGAACAAUAAAUAUUAUGAAGAAUAAACUCUAGGAUCCAUUAUCAUGAUAAUGACUACAAUCAAGCUUUCAGAGGACAGAAAUACAUAGGAACAACGAUCAAAUUGAUUGUACAACGAAACGACUUUCUGGCAGUCCUUACUUCUUCGCCAGCAAAAGCUGGAAGUCCACAGAGAGCAGCACAGACUUUCCUCUUCAUCAGGUUGACGCAGGGAAUUCGGAUGCUCCAGUUGAGGCAUAACUUGAACAUCUUUCUCCAGCCUUUCACAUUCAGAAAGUAAUCGGAGAAUAUACCGAAGCUCUGUCACUUCAGUCUGUUGAGGCAGGAAGUUUUAAAUCACAUACUCCAACAAAACAUGAUACGUACAUAAAAUAAGCUAUGUUAUCUUAUUAUAUAGUUAAAAAUAUCAGUAAAAUUCUGUGUGAGAAGCGAUGCUCACGGACUAGCCGUAAGCAAGCAAAAAAUAAAGUGCAACAGUAGAUAACAUCUUUGUAAAUUUUCACAUUCCCAAAUAAGAUAAAUCAUUCUCACGUGGAUUUAACAACAUUUAUAAACUUGCGAUAAUAAUAUUUUUAUCUUUUAAUUAACAUAGAAUACGCAAAAAUAAGUUUAAUGAUAUGCAAUUCGUGAUGCGGUCGAGAAUACCCUUCGA